rnacentral:misc_RNA from 1 species
UAACUACUUAGUUCCAUAAUUAUUAUUUAUACUUAAACUACCCAAAUCCUCUCCUACUUAUUUCUCUCUUGUCUUUCCUUAUUUCUUUCUCUUCAUAUUUUUUCUCUUCUAAGCCUGCAUCUUUCUCUUCCUCAUUUUCUCUUUGUUUUUACCUAUUGAUAAAAAUAAUAUAAGCUAUCUACACAAAAAUAUUAAUUAAUUUUCUUAAAUUUCUAAGUAAUCAAAGAAAAUUAAUUUUCAAUAGAG